GUGAUCAUCGGGAUGCUACAACGGUUAUUAAAUGUGGAAAAUGGCCAUAUGUCACUUUUUUCAGCGCCGUUGUGACUUUGAAGUCACUAAA